rnacentral:rRNA from 1 species
GAUGAACGCUGGCGGCGUGCCUAAUACAUGCAAGUCGAGCGAACGGACGAGAAGCUUGCUUCUCUGAUGUUAGCGGCGGACGGGUGAGUAACACGUGGAUAACCUACCUAUAAGACUGGGAUAACUUCGGGAAACCGUAGCUAAUACCGGAUAAUAUUUUGAACCGCAUGGUUCAAAAGUGAAAGACGGUCUUGCUGUCACUUAUAGAUGGAUCCGCGCUGCAUUAUCUAGUUGGUAAGGUAACGGCUUACCAAGGCAACGAUGCAUAGCCGACCUGAGAGGGUGAUCGGCCACACUGGAACUGAGACACGGUCCAGACUCCUACGGGAGGCAGCAGUAGGGAAUCUUCCGCAAUGGGCGAAAGCCUGACGGAGUAACGCCGCGUGAGUGAUGAAGGUCUUCGGAUCGUAAAACUCUGUUAUUAGGGAAGAACAUAUGUGUAAGUAACUGUGCACAUCUUGACGGUACCUAAUCAGAAAGCCACGGCUAACUACGUG